GACCUCUUGGCUCAGUGGUAGAGUUUCUGAUUCCAGCGAUCUGCGAGGUUCCAGAAGGUCGUCCGUUCGAUCCGGGCAGAGGUCA